AUGGCCGCCAAGAACCCUUCCUAUUUCCAAAGUAUUCCUCUUCAGCAAAUCAUCGAGCAAAAGGAGCUUCGCUUGCACUUGUACAUAUUCCAGCAAUGGAGCAAAGGCCCUCGACAGAACCAACAAAUUAUGACAAACUUACAGCUCCCCAAUCAGUGCGGUCUCAGCACUGUAAAUGACUGGCCUAUACGGGAUGGCCCCGGCCACAACGCAGACAUCGUUGCCCGUGGCCGAGGCCUGCAUUUCGGGACCGCUAUCGAUGAAGCAGACUAUUUUCACUCUUUCGUCAUAAUUUUUACCGACGAGAGGUUCAAGGGAUCCAGCCUUCAGGUGCUCGGAACUUCGAAGGCUAGCAGUCCAGAUGGUGAAUGGGCGAUCACCGGUGGGACCGGAGAGUUUGCCUUCGCACAAGGUGUUGUUGCUCACAAAAUGUUCGGGAGAGAUCACGCUUCUUGUUUCAGAGAGCUUCACAUCCGUGUUUUGUGCCUCGCCUUUCCAAAACCAGUCAUUGUCACCAAGAUUGGACCAUGGGGUGGGCAUGGAGGAAAAGAAUUUGAUAUCCCAGAGUUGGUACCUCAACAUCUAGAAAGUGUGACAAUUAGAAGUGGUGUUGUCAUUGACUCCAUUGCGUUCUCCUACGUUAAUCAAGCUGGAAAGAAGCAAACUCUUGGUCCGUGGGGUGGUGAUGGUGAACUUAGUGACACGAUCACUUUUGCCCCUUUUGAGAUUGUGAAGGAAGUUUCGGGACCAACCGGUACUUUUGGUGGAGAUACUGUUGUGACAUCGCUUACUUUCAUCACAAAUGUGAGGACAUAUGGACCUUUUGGAAAACCAAGCGGUACUGCUUUCAGUGUCCCUCUUAUGGACACUAGCGUUGUGGGCUUCUUCGUCCGUGCUGGAAGACUUGUUAAUGCUAUCGGCGUUUAUGUGCGUCCUUCUGUUUAA
rnacentral:rRNA from 1 species